CGCGACGACACCAUUCACUCUCUCAGUCUCACUCACACUCUCCUGUAAUUUUCGGGAGGAGAUUUGGAAGAUUCUCGCUGUCUUCGUAGUCAAGGCUAAGUCAAGUUACAGCACUUCCAGAAGAUAUUGUUUUCCCCCUGAGGACGCUCUUGGAGGUUGCUGCAAUGGAGCAGAAAUUGGCAGACCCCACCUUCCACAAAACAAGUGGUUGGCGUGGUGGCAGAAAUUGGAGGAAGAACAUUGGAUGAAGUCACCAGAAGAAUGAUGGCCUUCCUUUUAGACCACUCCCUAUCAAGAGAGUACAAUUUUGUUGGCUGCCAUGGAAAGCAAGAGUUUCGGGGCUCAAACUGUUUGAGUUUGUAUAUGGAAGCUUGAAAAAAAAUGCCCUUACAAACCAGAUUACUAGAAGAGAUGCUGAAAAGGCAGUGUCAAAGUGGCUAAUUGGUGCCAGGGACAGGGCAUGAAACCGUACAGCGAGGGCACGUGGUGGAGAGCAAGAUGGGUAAAAGUCAUUAUCAUUAAAACUGCAGUUAAAAAGUGUUUAGCCUACUUAUAUUUGUGUAAAACACAACAUUGUGCUUUUGUCAAACUUUAAACUUUUGUAGGCUAACCUACAACUGUCACCCAACCAAAAUCACACACACACACACACACAGUUCAGUGGUUCUGGAGAUUUAUCUGAAUGACUCAUAAACAAAAAAAAUUGAAAAUGUGAAAAUAAAACAAAGUGGUUCUGAAAGUUUUUUUUUAGGAAGAAAAAUCUAUGAGCCAUAUCUCUUCGCACUUGCACCUCAAGACCCAAAGUAUAGAAUAGCUCUAGGUGUUCUUAUUAGACAUUUACUGUCAGAUGUGUGUCUGCUAUAUGUACUGACUGCAUAUGUGCAUCAUAGUUAUUUAUUUAUAUUAACAUAAAAUGUGGACAGUCUGAUUCAGCCAUGGCAAACUAAGUAUUGUGGUCACUACCAAAACAUGCAGUCACUACCGUAACAUGGGAUGUUUUGUCAAAAAUAAAGUAUA